rnacentral:rRNA from 1 species
CGGUAAACAGAGGGAAGCGAGCCUGCGAGGGGAGCGAAUCCCAAAAAUAACGUCCCAGUUCGGAUUGUAGUCUGCAACCCGACUACAUGAAGCUGGAAUCGCUAGUAAUCGCGGAUUAGAAUGCCGCGGUGAAUACGUUCCCGGGUCUUGUACACACCGCCCGUCACACCAUGGGAGUCGGAAAUGCCCGAAGUCUGUGACCCAACCAUUAAGGAGGGAGCAGCCGAAGGCAGGUCGGAUGACUGGGGUGAAGUCGUAACAAGGUAUC